GGAAGUUGGGGGCAAUAACAGGUCUGUGAUGCCCUUAGAUGUCCUGGGCCGCACGCGCGCUACACUGACACACGCAACGAGUCUCCUUGUUCGAAAGGACCAGGUAAUCUUGUAAAUGUGUGUCGUGAUAGGGAUAGAUUAUUGCAAUUAUUAAUCUUGAACGAGGAAUUCCUAGUAAAUGCGGGUCAUCAGCUCGCGUUGAUUACGUCCCUGCCCUUUGUACACACCGCCCGUCGCACCUACCGAUUGAAUGGUUCGGUGAAAAUCUCAGACCGAUACGGAGAUACCCUCGGGUAAUUCCGUGCUGGAAAGUUAUUUAAACCUCAUCAUUUAGAGGAAGGUGAAGUCGUAACAAGGUUUCCGUAGGUGAACCUGCAGAAGGAUCA
rnacentral:rRNA from 1 species